rnacentral:rRNA from 1 species
GACAGAGGGUGCAAACGUUGUUCGGAAUUACUGGGCGUAAAGCGCGUGUAGGCUGUCUCGCAAGUCGGAUGUGAAAGCCCUUGGCUUAACCGAGGAAGUGCAUCCGAAACUGGCGAGCUAGAGUACUAAAGAGGAUCGCGGAAUUCCCGGUGUAGAGGUGAAAUGCGUAGAUAUCGGGAGGAACACCUGUGGCGAAAGCGGCUCACUGGACCACAACUGACGCUGAGGCGCGAAAGCUAGGGGAGCAAACAGG